rnacentral:misc_RNA from 1 species
GAUAAAAUGGUAAAACUUUGGGAUUUGUCAAACAACCAAUCAUCCUGUGUAGCAUCAAGGAAUCCUAAAGCAGGAGACGUCUUUUCCAUUUCCUCUUCAGAGGACAUACUUCUCUUGCCUGAUGUAGGUGGUUCAUUCAAAGGGCAAUUUGGAAGCGAGUGCAAAGCCACUUGUGUCUGGGACACGUAAGAUUUAAUGAUUACAGC